UUAAAUUGAAGAGUUUGAUCAUGGCUCAGAUUGAACGCUGGCGGCAGGCCUAACACAUGCAAGUCGAACGGUAACAGGAAACAGCUUGCUGUUUCGCUGACGAGUGGCGGACGGGUGAGUAAUGUCUGGGAAACUGCCCGAUGGAGGGGGAUAACUACUGGAAACGGUAGCUAAUACCGCAUAACGUCGCAAGACCAAAGAGGGGGACCUUCGGGCCUCUUGCCAUCGGAUGUGCCCAGAUGGGAUUAGCUAGUAGGUGGGGUAACGGCUCACCUAGGCGACGAUCCCUAGCUGGUCUGAGAGGAUGACCAGCCACACUGGAACUGAGACACGGUCCAGACUCCUACGGGAGGCAGCAGUGGGGA
rnacentral:rRNA from 1 species